GUUGUAUUUUGCCAUGGUUGGUCC
rnacentral:siRNA from 1 species